rnacentral:rRNA from 1 species
UACGUAGGUGGCAAGCGUUGUCCGGAUUUACUGGGCGUAAAGAGCGCGCAGGCGGUCGAAUAAGUCGAAUGUGAAAGCCCCCGGCUCAACUGGGGAGGGUCAUUCGAUACUGCUCGACUUGAAGGCAGGAGAGGGUAGUGGAAUUCCCGGUGUAGUGGUGAAAUGCGUAGAUAUCAGGAGGAACACCGGUGGCGAAGGCGGGUCUCUGGGCCGUAACUGACGCUGAGGAGCGAAAGCGUGGGGAGCGAACAGG